AACGAACGCUGGCGGCAUGCCUAACACAUGCAAGUCGAACGAGACCUUCGGGUCUAGUGGCGCACGGGUGCGUAACGCGUGGGAACCUGCCCUUAGGUUCGGAAUAACUCCCCGAAAGGGGUGCUAAUACCGGAUAAUGUCUUCGGACCAAAGAUUUAUCGCCUUUGGAUGGGCCCGCGUUGGAUUCGCUAGUUGGUAGGGUAAAAGCCUACCAAGGCGACGAUCCAUAGCUGGUCUGAGAGGAUGAUCAGCCACACUGGGACUGAGACACGGCCCAGACUCCUACGGGAGGCAGCAGUGGGGAAUAUUGGACAAUGGGCGAAAGCCUGAUCCAGCAAGGCCGCGUGAGUGAUGAAGGCCUUAGGGUUGUAAAGCUCUUUUACCCGGGAUGAUAAUGACGGUACCGGGAGAAUAAGCGCCGGCUAACUCCGUG
rnacentral:rRNA from 1 species